rnacentral:lncRNA from 1 species
AGGGACAAAGAGAAGAAUUGGGUGAUAUCUAAGCUGACAGAGUCUAGUAUUCAACAAAACAUAAAAAUUAUUUCAGUCAUUGGAUUAGGCGGCUCCGGUAAAACUACUCUCGCGAAGCUAGUCUUUAACGAUGGUAACACAAUAAAGCAGCAUUUUGAACUUAUACUGUGGGUUCAUGUGUCACGAGAAUUUGAUGUUGAGAAGCUUGUCGAGAAGUUGUAUGAAGCUAUUGCUGGAGACAAGCCUAACCAUCUCCCAUUGCAGCGUGUGAGCAGAACAAUCUCAGACAAGCUGGCUGGGAAGAAGUUCCUAGUUGUAAUGGAUGAUGUUUGGACGGAAGACCACGCUCACUGGGAGCAAUUCAUGGUACAUCUGAAGAGUGGUGCUCCUGGAAGUAGCAUUUUACUCACUGCUCGUAGUAGAAAAGUUGCGGAAGCGGUAGAUUCUACAUAUACAUUUGACAUGCCAUUCUUGUCUGAGGAUAACAGCCAGAAAGUGUUCGAGCAAAAUUUAGGAAGCGCAGCGAUUGGUUUGGACCCUGAAUUCCUACAAAUCGGGACAGAAAUUAUGAAGAAAUGCAGUGGUGUGCCCCUUGCAAUUAAAGUUCUUGCAGGUGUCCUCCGUGGAAUGAAAGGAAUAGAAGAAUGGCAAUCCAUAAGAGACAGUAAUUUGUUAGAUGUUGAGGAUGAAGAACGUAAAAUAUUUGCUUGCUUAUUGUUGAGUUAUAUUCACCUACCACAUCAUCUAAAGCGGUGUUUUUUACAUUGUUCUAUAUUUCCAAGAGGAUAUGUAAUCAAAAGGCGCCAUUUAAUUUCACAAUGGAUUGCCCAUGGCUUCAUCCCGACAAACCAAGCUCAACAACCUGAAGAUGUUGGAAUUGGCUACUUUGAUUCCCUUCUGAAAGUGGGUUUUCUUCAAGAUCAAGAGCAAGAUCACAGUGACGAGGUGACAUGCAAAAUGCAUGACCUGAUUCAUGAUCUCAGUAGAAAAAUUUUACAGGAUGAAUUUGUGUCCGGAAUAGAAACUAUCGAUCAAACAAAGAAGUGCAGUGGGAAGGUUGAUAGGAAACUAUAUGACAAGGUCCGUGCAUUCUAUGUUUCUAGGUGUAAACUUGCAUCUGACAGGACUAUGAACAAGCAGCGUUGCAUCCGCACAGUUAUAUUGAAGUAUAUGAAUAUUGAUUCAUUGCAUCUGUUCGUAUCCAACUUUGAAUACAUGGGCUAUCUUGAAAUCAGCAAUGUUAAUUGUGAAGCACUCCCAGACGCUAUCUCACAUUGUUGGAACUUGAAAGCUCUUCAUGUGAUAAAGUGCACCAGACUUGCAAAUUUACCUGAGUCUAUUGGUAAGCUUAAGAAGCUUAGAACUCUAGAAUUGAAUGUUGCUUGGAACGUCAAGAGUUUACCUCAGUCUAUCGGUGAUUGUGAUAGUCUUGGAAGCUUAUACCUAGAAAAUUGUGGAAUCAAAGAUAUGCCAAAUUCCAUUGAAAAAUUAGAAAAUUUAAGGGUCCUUAGUUUUGUGUACUGCACGGAUUUGCAGCAACUGCUACCGUCAGAACCAUAUGGGAAGCUUCGCAACUUACAGACCAUCACUUUAACAUUUUGUACUGCUUUUAAACACCUGCCACAGUGCAUCACUUUAUUGGGUCAUCUACAAUAUGUAGACCUUUCAUGUUGUACUGAGCUUAGAGAAUUGCCUGAAGGCAUAGGCGCCUUGAAAAAGCUUGAAGUUUUGAAUCUAGAGAGAUGCAGGAGAUUGUGUGGCCUGCCAGCAGGUUGUGGGCAACUGAUUCGUUUACAGCAGUUGGGCUUGUUUGUUAUAGGAGAUAGGACUAAGCAUGCAAGGAUCUCAGAGCUUGAAAAGCUUGAUAACCUUAAUGGAGAAUUGCAGAUAAAAAAUAUUAAACAUGUGAAGGAUCCAUUUGAUGCAGAAAUGAGCAAUCCUCCUCAAUUCUGCCAACUGACUAAACUAGUGUUGGUAAACUUACCAAACUUGGAGCACCUAUGGGGACUUGCGGAUUUACCUAGGAUAAAGACUCUUGAGCUGAGAGAAAUGCCUAAGUUGAUAGAAUUGCUUACUACCACAACUGGAUUAGAAAAUUGGGAGCAAGAAGACCAAGUGCAGUGCUGUUUCCCUGACCUCUCCACUCUGGUAAUAAGUGACUGUCCAAGAUUGAUUGUGAAGCCAUACUUUCCAGAUUCUCUGAAGAAUCUUACAUUGGAAGGAAGCCAUGGGCAAUUGCUUUCCUCAGGAUGCUUCUUCCAUCCGCGUCAUGCAGCUCAUGGUCAUGGCAACGAGUCUUCAUCUUCAUCCUGUAUUGUGGAUGUGAAGUAUCCCCACCUCACGUAUCUAAAACUUGAUCGACUGAUAGGCUCAUCAUCUGGCUGGGAGAUGCUGCGGCACCUCACUGAGCUUCGUACAUUGGAAAUAUCUGAGUGCAGGGACCUUAGGUAUUUGCCCGAGAGCAUGCGGAGCCUCACCUGCCUCCAUAUGCUGCUCAUAGAUCGCUGCAAUCUUUGUGUGCUGCCGGAGUGGCUUGGGGAACUGCAGUCUCUACAGGAUCUGCGCUUCCUAAAUCUCCCAAUAAUAACGUCCAUCGCCCCUCAAUCAAUACAACGCCUCACAUGCCUCCAAGUGUUGCACAUAAUGUCAUGCCAUGCCCUGCAGCAGCUGCCGGAGCAACUCGGGGAACUCUGCUCACUCCGUGGGCUUCACAUUUAUGAUUUGCCUGGUGUGACAUGCCUUCCCGAGAGCAUGCAACGCCUCACAUCGCUUCAAUGGCUCACCCUGAUUUGCUGUGACGCGCUGACCCAGCUUCCAGAGUGGCUAGGUGAACUCUGCACUUCGAAGGUUCCAUAUCCUUGGAUGCUCCGGCCUGACAUCGUUGCCCCAAUCCAUACAACGUCUUACCGGUCUAGAGGAAUUGUGUAUACGUAA